rnacentral:sRNA from 1 species
CCCUGGCGGCGGCCCCGCCGAAUCCCGUGCCCGCUGUCCCACUCAAGAUGGCGCCUGAGUGUGGGCGGACGUAGCGCCGGCGCGAGCGCCCGGCAGCGCCGCCUCCCUGGCCCUGUGCCAGCGACGUCGUCCGACCGUCGCAGGACGUGUGAGAGCGGCAAAACGCGGGGCCCUGGGGCUUCGCCGCCGAGCGAACGAAGAGGAGGACGAAGCUCGCGUCAAGCGACAACAACAGAGCCUCAUGGCGGCGGCCGUCGGCCAGCGGCGGUGCCGACGCCGGCAGGGGCUCGCCGGCGAAGGUCGCCCAAAGGUCGGUGCCGCAAUGGCGUCGUCUCCCGGCCGCUGCUAUCUUUAGCAAUCCCUCCUCACCAGCGCCUCGCGUCUCUACUAUGAGCGAAUGGCAGUCGUCGUGUGCUAUCGGACUUGCUAGCUGUAGGCUGCGGGCAGAGUCCCUCGCCAGGCAGGUGUACUGCAGACCUUUCUUCCCGCCCAUGGACGAGCGGCCCAGUGUGGUCCAGUGCCCGCCGGUCCGACAACUCGCCCCGGCGACGACAACCCCGCAGGGAUCCCAGUCCGCCCUGCUCGUGGGAAACGGGACGGGCCCCUGGGAGCCCCACGGGACACAAGAGGGCUCGGACGAUGUGGAGCCCACAGACACGUCGGCCAACUUCCUGGUACGGACGGGCAGGGCACUGUACGAGCGACUCUACUCGCUGCUGCAGGACGAGAGCGUCAACUGUGUCGUCCAGAGUGGCGAAGAGAGCGUCGACGAACCGUCGUCGACGUCUUCGCUAGACUUGGGUGAUUCCGACAGUUCCGCGGAGAUUGGUGUCGACGGCCGAGUUUCAGCGCCGCCGGCCGUUGCCAGCCUUUCCAGUGUCGAGGUCUCGUUGCCCUCCGACGAUCUGCCUGCGAGCUACCCACCGGAGCGUGAAGUGGUCCGAGCAGCCUUGUCACAGCAUCAUUCGCUGCCUGACGACUCGUUUCCCUUUCCCAUCGUUCAAGGUCUGGUGCGCCCCGGUGGUGCGUCGGUGCUGCUAAAAAAUGGAAACUCUUCCGCGGAUUUAGUCGAGGAGGCCUUCCAGGAUGUGACUGAUGGGCUUGCUGAAGAGUUUCGGGACGACGGCUCCCCUACAGAUACUGGAGCCGAAGUCGCCACCACAGACGUUGCCGCAGAUGCCUCUGCCGAGGUCAUCGCCACAGGCGCUGUUGCGUCGGCUGUCGACAGGUCAGAUUCUUCGGUCGGAACGGGCAUCGCUGAGUCGACUGAAGGACCAAGCAGCGCCGAACCGGAUAACAAGCGUCCAAGGUCUAAGCGAUUCGCCAAGCAUCGCUUCCAAGAGGCGGCUCCUCUGAAACAGCGUAACGCAGAGGGUCCACCUGCGGCACUACAAGCAGUUGCACUAGAACCAUACCCCGCUGACGGAUCGCCAAGUUCCUUUUCAUCGUCUGCUAACGACGUCCCAUCUUCAGUGGACACGUCACCAUCUUCAUCCAGCACACCGCGGUCCCGAGAGGAGAGUGACGACGAGGACAGCGCGAGCCGUGGCCGUCUACUCCGCAGCACCUCCCUCAAAACCGGCAAGAGUCCACCGGGAACACCGUACAAGAAAAAAAUCGUCCGGUUCGCGGAUGCCAUGGGUCUGGACCUCGCAGCGGUGCGGACCAUCGUCUCCGGCGACGUACCCAACAUCCCUGCAUCCGCCUUCUCUCACCUCGACCUCGAACGUCAGGUCUCACCUCCGCGGACAUCGGGUCCUUCGCUGGUGCUAGCGCCCUUGUUCGCCCAGCCUGGGGCCAGCUCGGAGUUUUUGACGCGACUGACGGCCCAGAAGGUCUGUCUGGAGUCCGUUGUCGUGACGGGCUGCGCCAUACACGCCGUCAUCCGCGUCCUCAACGUUGCCUUCGAAAAGUUGGUGAUUCUGCGCUACUCGCUCGACCAGUGGCGUUCCUUCUGCGACCUCCGAGCCGUCUACCUGCCCGGUUCGUCAGACGGGCUUUCGGACAGGUUCGGCGCUGACCUGUACCUGUCCGAGAACUGCGCUCGGCCCAUGGUCCAGAUGUGUGUGCGGUACGUCGUCGGGGAUCGCGAGUUUUGGGAUAACAACGGCGGUACCAACUACCGCUUCGAGUUUAGGGAGUCGCCCAGGGACGAACCUGAGAUGACGCCUCUGAUGAACUACCUUUAGCCUGACGGUGGGAACGUGUUGCUGCCGUGCGAGACGGCACGGGUAUUUAUUCGCCAGGGAGUGGGGAUGGGAUGUACAAUGGCAUAUCGGAGACGUGUGUGAUGCAACUAUAGGAUUAGCAAUAAUAAAUGAAGGUCGCCAAUCUAGGCUCUUUUGCGAGGUGGCGGUGGUACACGAGAACGAAAGAUUUUGCAGAAGCCCGAGUCUGGAUGCUGCGACUGAAAGUGGAGUUCUAGCGGCAUGUGCGCAGUUCUAGGUCGUCCCUCGGCGUUUCGCCAAACUCGGGCUUCCAAAAGUGAGAGUGCUACUCUGUUCUAUAGUGGCUCUGAUGCUCAUCGAUCUGCUGAGUCAUUCUGCGCCAGUGAUUGCUCGCCUCAAGAAAGAACAAAUAUAGAAAUUGCCCGCUUUUGAUAUUGAAAUCUCGAAAGUAUGUUUCGAGCAAAUACUCCAAUGGAAGUGUACCAGAGAUAGUCUUACCAAAAUUAAAAUUUUCAGAGACUACGUAUCUCUUGUUGACAUCCGCGGUGCUGUUACGGACUCUUCGGGGUAUGGCAUUUGUUUAUUUUCUUAAAAUGAACCGAUAUAUUUUUUGUAUCCGCAAACCCCUCUCUUGACGAGCCUAUCCUGCAGCGUUGGCGACUACGGUGUUCAUUCAAAGUGUCCACAAUUAUAGGAUCACAAAACGAAACUGGGAAGUUGAUUGGUCUCUCACCUGGAAGGGAAACAAAUAUACAAAAUCUAGUCAACGACACCACUCGUUCAUGUGGUCCUAUAGAUGUGUGAAAACGUUAUACUAUAUGACGUUAUAAGGGUAUCUGGGUAUUCACACUGAUGUUAUUCCAUGCAAAUCAUGCCGCGUUAAACUUACCGUUCGCGACAAGAAAUAUGUUUCAGGAGUGCGUCGUGUCACGGUGUACAGGACGUCCUUUGUCGUGCGAUUUUUAAAAAUGUCGCGCUUUGCUGUUGAUGUUCAUCAGCACAGCUCGUUGGUUGAAGUUUGGGCCAUCAUUGAUGGGCGCCGAGAGUGGAUUGUAGUACAUUUCUAUAUGGAUACACAGCGCAGUAAUCUGUAAAGUUGCGCCUCUACCGGUAUAAACACUGCCUCGUGGCUGGCACCUUUAUAGCCUUACAUCGUCAUAAAGCUACACCUACACGGAAAGGGUGGAGCGUCGCUUACAUUGAAAGGCAACUUCUGAGUGCUCGGUUAUCCACGGGCACAGGUAACUCCUUAGGUGCGAGCCAUAGACAAGCAAGCGUUUAGACCGGUACGGGCGUGCAAGUAUCUACAGCGGUAUCGGACGAUGAUUGUGAAAUGUAUCGCAGGAGCUUGUCUCCCCCUAGUCGCGGGCUACGGGUUUUGAAGAACGGUUGAAGCGUGAGUCACGCGUGCAUCAUGCGACCGUAUUAUGCAGGACCUGUCAUUCGUUGGUUUAGCACCUGUUGUCAGACAUGGAUCGCUCAUUAAAGAGGAAGAUCUAGUUA